CCAAGUUUUUUAGGCAGAAUCGCUUUUGCAAGGUUUGAUGUUUCCACACCAGCCUGCUCCCUGAAGGGUCAUAGAAUCAAUGGUUUGGGUUGGACCUUAAAGAUCACCUAUUUUCAAACUCCCUGCCAUGGACAGGGGCAUCUUCCACUGGACCAGGUUUCUCAGAGCCCCAUCCAACCUGACCUUGAACACUUCCAGGGAUGGGGCAUGCACAGAUUCUCCUAGCACCCCGUGCCAGUGCCUUACUGGUCCCAAAGAGCAGCCAAGGACUUUUGCAGCCUGUGAAUCAUAACAAGAAAACCUGCCAUGGACAGUCUCAAUCCCAGCUUGUGCACACUCCCAUUGUCUCUACCAGAGCUGCUCAGGAACCAGGAUUUUGCCAUUCUGCAAUUUGCAGUGCAGUGGGGGGGGAGUAGUCCUCAGUCCCAGCAGGGAGAUUUGCAUCCUGCAGUGUCCCACAAAAUCCAGCACCCCUCCAAAAUAAAUUGCAGAGAUACCAAAACAUAAUGUGUUGGUGUGUUCAAUUUCCUUUUUGUUUUCUCUCACACGCCAAAUGAUAUUUGUGUAUGAAAACAGAAAAAAAAAAAAAUCAAAAUUACCAGAGCUGAAAUUGAGAAGAGAAGGAAGAUUACAGCAUUUUCCCAUCUCACCAAUAUUGGUAACAACCCUACCCCACAAAAUAUUUAGCCGAAACUGCAUUUUGCCAGAGAACUAUUUUGCCUAAAGAGAAUUUUGAACAUUUUUCCCCAGCUGUUAGUUUAGUUUUGGGUUUUUUUUUUUUUUUCAUCUCAGUCCUGAAGAGCAUGUAUGUGUUUGGGAUUAUAAUAAUUUUGGGGUGAGCUGCUCAUCUGCACGAUGCAGCCGGCAAAUGAGCAGCUCGGUUUGCACCUCGUGGUCUACACACGCUGCGAUGCCGCUGUCAGACGUGCCGGGAUGCGCUCAGCGCCUCCGAGCCCCUUCCAGAGCAUCACCUCCAAAGCCGCGCCCGGCACAAGCUCCGGGCCCCGCAGCCUCCCCGCUGAUCUCGGAUCACCCAAAAUCCCGCUCCGGGGAGGAGAGAGGGGCUGUGCUGCGGGAAUCCGCUUCUGCUGCACCGGCUUUGGCUCAUUCUGGAGUCAACCUCUCUGCUUGGGCAUCCUCCUCCGCAAAUUGAGGAAUAACAACACACUUCAGAGGGGCGGCGGGGGCCUACUGAAACGCCAUUCUGCAUCUGCAGCAGAGCAGAGAAACCCCAACCUUCUGUCUUCUUUCAAGAACUCUGGGUUACUGGAAACUGAGAAGAAAUAACACAACCUUGUCCUCUGUUUGAAAAUGUUCCUGUUUAUUUUGCUUGUGUCUGGGCUCUCCGUGGCCCCUUCUAUCUUAGAUUCCCCCUACAGAAGGUUUUCUCCCCCCCACCCCCGCUAUUUAUAUCCCAUUUAGAGUUAAUUGGGACUGCCUGCCAUCAUGGCUCAGAAAUAAUUACUUUGCCAUAAUUAUUCUUAAAUCGGGAUUUUUACACCUGUGCUAAGGAUGGCUGAUCAAAACACUGGCAUUUCUACUUGUGGACCCUGAAAUGGUGCUAUGGGCAAGGACCCCAGCCCCCACGAAAAACCCCACAGGUACAGAUUGGGGGGGAGAUGCUUUAACAGUCAUCCAUCAACAUUAUUUUGGAAAAACCCUCCUAAAGCCUACAAUGUCCAUUUCACCUCAACUGGACAUAGGAUGAGGCCUUCACCAGCUGUCUCAGCUGCUUGGUUACUAGCUGUACAUGGAUGCUACUUCUGCCCAAGACAUUUUUGGGCAGAAACUGCAUUAUGGUAAACCUCUGCUCCAGCAGCACAAUGUGAGUUGAUUAGUCUGAGAGACACACUGGGAACUAAUGUCCUGACUCAUUCUGUUAAUCAGACAUUUGCAGUAGCCUCCUAAAAAUGUAUUCGUAUUGGCUGGAAGGAGGGCCCCAGUCAGCAUGCAGCACUUGACCAUGCAGGAAACCUGGAUGACCUUGAAAGCCAAAGCAAUAAAAGCAAAUGACAUUGAGUAGUGCUGAAUAUCAGGUCUUGCUCUCAGGGACUGAACAAGCACUGCUGACAUAAGCUGGAGGCUCCUGUGUCAGAAACUACAGGUAUGGCAGACAAGUGUGGGAGGGUCCAUCAGGCACAGAAUGGCUGGGAGUCACUGCUAGGAAGUGUUAAUGCUCUUCCAAGAGCAGGGAGCAAAGGUGUUCCCAGCAGAGCUGGGGAAAUAGCAGUGCUGCUGUCUCGUGUGAAGGUGAGGCACAGACCAGGUGAAGAUUCAUAGUUCUGGUUACACCUUCCUAUAGGGAAUUUUUUUUUUUUUUUUAAUCUCUGGGCUAACUUCUGCAUGAUUUCUCCUCUGAAAUCUGCAUGUCUCAGACAGGAGCACGCAGCACAAAAAUCUGUUCUAUUCACAGCUGCCCUGCACAUGUACAGACACACACACACACUCUUCAAGACAUCUCUAGGUGUGAUAGAGGGACUAGGGACUGAAGCACCUCAGGCCACUUGCACUGCUUGGUUAAGGGACAUCUUCAAAUUUCUCCUGUGCAGUUCAUGUACCUGGCCCCGAUAAGCUGAUGCACAGAUCAGUCUGCUGGGGCACACAGGGUGCCAGCCAGGAUGGAUCAAGGUCAGAUGCCAGCUCAGGAAAGUCAGGCGUAGUCCUACUGCAAGGUUGCUGGUAGCAAAGGCACAUGCUGCCUGCAGCACUGGCACCCAACCAGGUGGGAUGGUGGGAGGAAAUGGGAUCUGGCCCGCUGUGCUGGGAGGCAUGGGGGACAGAGUCCCCUUCACGCUCUGCAGCCAAGCAAACACUGCACUCCUGCCACUUCACUGGGAUUUGCAUGGCAGAUCAGAAGGACAAAUUUCUCUCUGGAUGAUUUAUCACUCAACAUCUCAGCAAGUUUUCUUCAUAAAGUAAAGAAUUUUUCAGUGCCUUAGUGCCUUGCAAGUCUUACCAAAAGCAGGAUGCUUAGGGUGCCUCCUGUGUCCUGCUGAUUUGCCUUAUCUUCAAAUGUGCCUCUGCACAUUUGGUUGUCCUCCAGGACACAGACAUGACUGACAUUGUCAGUCACUGAAAUUAUUUUCCUGGCCUCUUAGAGAAGGUUAAUUUUAUCUGCUCUUUUCUCCUGGCUUAAUUCUGUAUUCUUUAAAUGAAAUACAAAUGCAGAGCUGCCAUAAUCCUUGUUUUCUGUCACAGUUUGUUGCCUACCUGCUAUGUGAAAAGCAGAUUUCUGUUUUGAUAAUCACAGUUUGCCUAUAGACUGCAUGGCAGGGGCUACAUGUUGCUUUCAUUCAGACUACCCUGUUUUCAAUAUAACCUCCCAAUCUUUUUCACCUGUUGGCCUUAACCUUCCACAAGCAAUGAGAAGACCACUAAGAGUUGUGAAGUCUUAUUUCCUCCUUGCUUCCAUAAGGUCAUCAAAUUGCAUACAUCACAUAUUGACUGUGUCUGUUUUGCCAUUUAAUUUUGUUCAAUAGCUAUAUCACACAUGGAGGUAAAGUAUGAACAUCUGCUUCAGUACAAGAGCUUCAAGACCAGUCAAAGUCAUUGUUAUAAUUUCACCUUAGAAACUUGUAAAGUCUGCAUCCACCAUUCUACUGGGAAAUAGGCAUUACUGUAGUCUAUGUUUAACAACCCACUGCUUAACCCAUUGCUGCACACCGAUGUGUCAUGAAAAAUAUACUGGGAUUUAAAGACUACAAUAACUUUUCUACCCAUGAUGUUGAAGAAGGGAAAGAUCUGGAACUUGUAAAAGAUUAGGUGGUUUUCAAAAACUCAGCCAUUUUUCAGGAAGCACUGACUUUUAAAGUCCAUUUUUGGAAAAAUAUUAAAGCUGGCCUUUCUAUUACACCAUUCAAGUAUUAAAUAUGUUUUAAGUGAGGGGUUUUCUUCUGCAUGUUAAAUUUAUCUUCCAGACAUCACUCCUUUUGGUACUGUAACUAGAAGAUGAAAUUAUAAAAGACACUAAAUUACACAGUCUGAGAUAUUCUGGCUAAUGUCUCUAUUUUAAAAGCCAAUAAACACAGUGGUAUUUACAACUCUUGCCUGGA